ACAUGCAAGUUGAACGGUAUGACAUGGAAGCUUGCUGAAGUGUCAUAUAGUAAGCGGACGGGUGAGUAAUGCAUGAGAAGCUGCCAUUGGGAGGGGGACAACAGUUGGAAACGGCUGCUAAUACCCCGUAUGCCGGAAGGUGAAAGGGAGCGAUCCGCCCGAUGAGGUGCUCAUGUCCUAUCAGCUGGUUGGUGGGGUAACGGCCUACCAAGGCGACGACGGGUAGCCGGCCUGAGAGGGUGAACGGCCACACUGGAACUGAGAUACGGUCCAGACUCCUACGGGAGGCAGCAGUGGGGAAUAUUGGGCAAAUGGGGGCAACCCUGACCCAGCGACGCCGCGUGGGGGAAGACGGCCUUCGGGUUGUAAACCUCUUUUGUACGGGAAGAAGGAAGUGACGGUACUGUACGAAUAAGUCCCGGCUAACUACGUGCCAGCAGCCGC
rnacentral:rRNA from 1 species